GUGCUCAUUUUGGCAGCACAUACCCUAAAAUUGGAAUGAUACAGAGAAGAUUAGCAUGGCCCCUGCGCAAGGACGACAAGCAAAUUCAUGAAAUGUUCCAUAUUUCU